AGGCUAGCUGGCAGGGGAGACACCUUGAUGAUGAAGGAGGUUUUCCAAGGGUGAGGCUCAUCCAUUGCACUGCGGGUGUGCUGACCCCUGCGAUUUCCCCAAAUGCGGGAAACUCAUCUGCAUAAUUUGUGGCUGAAACCAACAAAGUGGGAGUUC